UUAUAUGGUUUUGGUCUGAUAAUGAUC
rnacentral:piRNA from 1 species